rnacentral:tRNA from 1 species
GCCGCUGUGGCGGAACUGGCAGACGCAAGGGACUUAAAAUCCCUCGCCCCAAUAAGGCGUACCGGUUCGAUCCCGGUCAGCGGCA